rnacentral:rRNA from 1 species
UCGAACGGUGAAGCCCUUCGGGGUGGAUCAGUGGCGAACGGGUGAGUAACACGUGGGCAAUCUGCCCUGCACUCUGGGACAAGCCCUGGAAACGGGGUCUAAUACCGGAUACGACCACGGAACGCAUGUUCUGUGGUGGAAAGCUCCGGCGGUGCAGGAUGAGCCCGCGGCCUAUCAGCUUGUUGGUGGGGUGAUGGCCUACCAAGGCGACGACGGGUAGCCGGCCUGAGAGGGCGACCGGCCACACUGGGACUGAGACACGGCCCAGACUCCUACGGGAGGCAGCAGUGGGGAAUAUUGCACAAUGGGCGCAAGCCUGAUGCAGCGACGCCGCGUGAGGGAUGACGGCCUUCGGGUUGUAAACCUCUUUCAGCAGGGAAGAAGCGCAAGUGACGGUACCUGCAGAAGAAGCACCGGCUAACUACGUGCCAGCAGCCGCGGUAAUACGUAGGGUGCGAGCGUUGUCCGGAAUUAUUGGGCGUAAAGAGCUCGUAGGCGGCUUGUCGCGUCGGAUGUGAAAGCCCGGGGCUUAACCCCGGGUCUGCAUUCGAUACGGGCAGGCUGGAGUGUGGUAGGGGAGAUCGGAAUUCCUGGUGUAGCGGUGAAAUGCGCAGAUAUCAGGAGGA